rnacentral:lncRNA from 1 species
GCUAACUUAUUAGCCUACUAAGGCAAUUAUCAACCUUCUCUUCAUUUGAUACUCCCGUAGCCCAUGUUCAAAAGAAAGAAAAAGAAGGAGAAAAGAGGGGGAUAGGAAGGAAAAGAGGGAAAGGAUAAGAGAGCAAUAAUUAUACUUUCUCCCACCUCUAUUUCUCCUACAACAAAAUCAGCAGAAAGAAAAGAAAGAAAAAGAGAGAGAAUGAAAGAGAAAGAAAGAAGAAGAUGAAACCAUGGAAGCAUGAAGGAAGAAUAAGAAAUCAAAAGGUAAAACCAAAAUUUUUCAUCUCUUUACUUUUCUUAAGAGUUUGAUUUGUUGAAAGUUGGGUUAUAGGGGAUCAUGAUGGAUCCAAAGUAAUAAGGAAGUAUAUGAUAAAUAUUUUAUGUUUAAUCUAUGUCAUAAUUGAAUUUAAGAUCAAAAAGUUAGGAAUGUGUUUGAGGAUGAAUAAAAGUUAUUUUGAGGACUUAAAUCAAACUUGUAAAAGUGUUGAUAGUUGAUUAAUGUGUAAUAUCUGAGGAGGAUGAUCUAUAGAUUAAGAAGUUAUGGAAAUAUUCCAAUUUGAACGGACUAAAAAUGAUUUAAAUCGAAGUAGUGGUGAAAGUUUUCGUAAACAUGUUAAACGAUGAAAAACUUAGUCUUGGGGGACUUUUGAGCAAAAUUUUUGAAUAAUUAAUGAAUCUGAAAAAUUAUGAAAUCAUGGAGGUUUUGUAGAGCAUGUUACAAUCUUUCCAUAACCUUGAAAAUGGACUAAUUCCGACUUAAAAUGAAGAAGUUAUAAAGAUUUGAAGUAUGUGCGUCAAAAGUUGCAAAAUCUAGAACAUUGGAGUUAAGUGCCAAGGGUCGAGCGCCUAAGCACUAGGCUCGGCGCUUAGAAUCUGUUCUAGGGCGCCUAGGCGCUUGCCCAAGGCCAAAUUUGGGCGCCUAGGCGCUGAUCUAGUGUUAAGCCAAAAUCUGUUCAGACGUCCUUUAGUAAAUUGGGCAUAACGUCUUCAUAUGAACUCCGAUUGAGGUGAUUCAGGAUGAUUUAAAAAGAUAACGAGUAGACCCAAAACUUUUAUUCUUUAUAUUUUGAGAUUUGAGGUAGUUAUCAAGGCCUAAAAUGGCUAUUUUAGUGACUAAUGUGCAUUUAGAGGCAAUCAGAGGACGUCGGGCAUGCACGUAUGCAACGUGUAAUGUUUUCGAUGAUAAAUGAUGUUGUUAUAAGUUGUAAAACAUGAAAAUUAUUAAAUAUAAUGAUAUUAUGCGAUGAAUAAAGACAACUUAAAUGAACAAUGAAUUAUUAGUUGGUGUAUAUGUUAUUCGAUAUAAUUAUGAUUUGAUGUUGAUCCUUACUUUUAAUAGAAUUUGAAUUGUUUAUAAGUAAGGUAUUAAUUUGAUUCUUACAUAAGAAGUCACUAUGUAUUUUAUUCAAUAAUUGUCACAGUAGUUAUUACACAGUGAUUCAUAUUAUUGAUUCUUAAUUAUGUAAGAAGUCACUCAGUCUUUUAUUCAAUAAUUGCCACAGUAGUUAUUGCACAGUGACUCAUAUUAUUUGAUAUGAUAUAAUUAAACCAGUUGGCAGUAUUGAGAGUAUAUGUUAAUAAUUGUGAAUAAUGGUUCAAAGAUUGAAAAUGGUGUUGAUUAAAGAUAAGUAUGAUAUACAGAUGGUUGUUCAAUUAUUUUCUUUUUUACAAAAGUAAGUUUGGCAGGACUUGCGAACACUCUACUUUUACUAAAGUAGUAUGGACCACAACUCUAUUAUUGAACAAAUUUUAUUAAAACGUGUACAAAGUUGGUUUAAUUUUCUCUGUUGGACCAUAAAUUCCACUACCAUUUUUAUAUACCUCAUUUGGUUAAUUUGUCAAAGCAGAUGUGCUUGUUUACUAAAUUUUUAGUAUAAAUAGGUUGCUCGGUUGAGUAACUAAACACACAUCAUCACUACACUAAAAGUAUAGAAUUCUUUUACUUCAAUAUUGUGAGUAUUUCUAUUGAGUUUAAUGUUACUCCAAGUGUAGAUAAGGAAUGCAAGCAUUGUUUAAGUUGAUUAAUUUCAUAGAAAGCAAAAUCAAGUCACAUGCUAAGGUAAGGGAUAUCAUUAUUAUGGUAAGAGGGUAUCAUUUCACUGUUGAUUUACUUGAUUAUAAAUAUGAAUUAUGAUUUAAUUAUAAUCUGUGGUGGUUCAGGUGAAAACAUGUGAUGAGAGUUCUCUUUGUCUUGGGUAUAACCAAGAACUGUUGAUGAGUAUUACAGGAAUGAAAUAUUAACGAUGGACUUUUAUUCUAGGGGAGAUAGUAGACAUUAUGUUCUACUUGAUUCUUCUAAUGGAUUGUUGAUUUCGCUGCUAUUAUGGUUGGAAACUUUUAUCUUCUACCAUAUGUUCUAAAUAUCUGAAUUAUUAUUGAUGAAGGCUAUUGAUAAUUUAAUUAUCUUAAGUCAUGAUAUUCUUUACUGGGCUAUUUGUGCUCACCCUUUUACUUCAGCACCCCUUUUAGGUAAUAAAAGUGUAGCUGAGACUAGCAGAGAGAACAUGAGUAUAAAGUGUUGAUACGAAUUAGUCACAAGCCUAAUCAAAUUAUGAAACGUGUGGCAUAAUAAUUGUACUGAGAACUUAAAAUGUGUGUGACAUAUUUUAUACAUCAUUUGAUAUUUAAUUUUGGUGAACAACAAUUGGGUGAGGUGAAUCAGAAUUUGGAAACGUCAAAAAUGCACUCCAUUAGAAUGAGGAGGACAGAAAUCUUCUCGUGUUCCUUUGGGGACUUGAAAUAUUUGCUGCUGUACUUUAGAUGGCAUUGUAAUAAUUUGAGUAUGAAUAUUGUCGUAUUAUAUACGUUACAAUAUUUGUAUUGAAACUCACAGUAUAUGUGUCGUCGUAUUUUGCACUACAGUUGUAUAAAUGAAGCUGUCAGUCAUGUAUUUUCUAGCGACCAAGGAUGGGUGGCGUAUACCUAUUUUGGGGGCAUCACAACAGGAUACUGGAAUAGUGAGGUAUCAGACUUCUCUUCUUCUUUCUCUCUAUAAUUUCUCUAUAAUAAUUACUCUUGUGAGACUUAGUGAAUUGGUGAGAAUGAAGGAAGAAUGAGCUUCUAUUUAUAGGAAAAUAUAGUUUCGAUAAUUGCACGUUUUGGGGCUCGAAAUAUUACAAUAUAAUACCUUUAUCUUUUCUUUCAUUUUUAAUUUAGUCCUACAAGUAUUAUCAAACUUGCACCACCUCACCUAAUAGUAAAUCAUGUGAAUCAAUAGUAAAUCAUGUGACUCAAUAGUUCUAAACAUGUGAAAAAAAUAAUUACAGUAUAGUACCUUCAUCUAUAAUUUAAUCAUGCAAGUAUUAUCAAUCUUGCACCACCUCCCCUAAUAGUACAUACAUGUGAACACAUAGUUAUAAGCAUGUGAAUCAAUAGCAAUUAAUUCCUCAUUUAUUCGAUUAAUUACCCGAUUGGUCAAUAUAACCUCUAGACAUCAAUUAUUAUCGAAAUAAAUGUCGAUUUCCACUAACACUAAUAAUUCCAACACAAUGGAACUAUUAAUUUCAUCAUUAAUCAACACGAACUUAUUCAUAAUUAAUAUUAUAAUUCACAAUAUUUAACAACCAGGUCGUUCCCAGGAAAGAGGGGGCUUUCCGAUAAGGAUUUCUCCUUAUUGGCGCGCAAUUAGGUGACCAAACCUCUCCUUGAUAGAACUUCUAGACAUUGUCAAUAUUGCAAAUAAUAAUAUGAAUAACUUUGUUGUCUCAAUUAUUGAUUUAAUAAUAUAAUAUAUUAUACAGUUGAUACUAUGACAAUAAUUGAAUCAAUAAUAUGAGAGUUAUGAUGCAGCAAUUACUGUAGCAAUAAUUGAGUAUAACUGAGUGACUUCUUACGUAAGCAUCAAUAAUCAAUACCGUGUGCUUCUAUGCAACCACACGUAUUACUGUACUUUUACUACCGGGUAGUUCAACAGUUUUAACGGUAACACUCGCCGUUAUUUUUAUAAAAUGAUAAUUUUAUCAUUUUCUAACUACGACAAUACUUCCGUUGUGGGGUCCACAUCGUCGUACGAAUAUUUCUUGUUAAAACGAAUAUUCCCCUACCAAUCGAAUAUUAUAUAACAACUUUCUUACUUUACAAAAUUUAUAAAUAUUACACACAACUAUAACAUUAUAUCAAAUCCACACUAUAAUAUUCAAAAAAAUAUUUCGAGAAAUUUAAAUCUUUAUUCAUAAAAUUUGGGGUCUCACAAUCUCCCCUCCUUAUGAAAUUUUGCCCUCGAAAUUUACGUACGUACCAGGUAUGCUGAAGAGAUGAGGAUACCUUGACUUCAUUUCAGAUUCUAACUCUUGAGGUAUAACCUUUGAGUGUCGAAUAUAAUCCUUCUUAUCCAAGAUUUUAACACGUAUCUCCUCAUAAAUUAAAUCUUUUUCUAUCUCGUCUAGUUCUAAUUCAAUAAUGUGGUUUGGGUCAUCCACAUAAUUAUGUAACAUCGAUACGUGAAAAACGUUAAGAACACACGACAUACUUGACGGUAAAACGAGUCUAUAGGCCACAGUUCCUACUCGAUCGAGGAUUUCAAAUGGGCCAAUUAAAUCGAGGGUUGAGAUUUCCUCUAUUCAUCGACUCUUGCUUCUAGAAUAACGCCUUCUUGAACCUUCUUCUUCAUAUUCAUCAGCUCCAGGUGUGUAGUUUGAGCAGCUUUAACUUUAUCGAUUAAAGUCCAUUCUACUCGUAUAUUCGUUAUCUUCACGUGGGUCUCUAGAGUCUUUAACUCUAUCUUCGUCAUUGUAAGUUAUACGAAAUGGGUUUUUGUGUUAACAAUAUUGCACUCGUAAACGCAUACGAUCUUCUACUCAACGCGUCAGCUACCACAUUCGUUCUUCCACAAUGAUAUUGAAUGGUAUAGUCGUAAUCUUCAACAGCUCGAGCCAACAUCUUUGGCGUAUUAUAUGUUUGUUUUGGUUGAAGAAAUAUUUAAGGGUUGAAGAAAUGGGUUUUAUACUGUGGUCAAUACAAAAUUCGAUUUCACGCUCUAGGGUAGGCGAGGAAGUUCUUCGAGAAUACGUCAGGAAAUUUAUUAACGAUAGAAAUAUCAUUCAAAACUGUGACUCUCAUCCAAGACUUGGAUAGGACAUGAAAUGAAGGUUUCUACUAACGGAGUUUCAACCGAUAAGUCAAAGACUAAUUUCUUCGAAGUCAAAUUUAAACUUUGAGCGCAAGCAAGAGAGACAAAAUAAUGGGUAGAACCGGUAUCUAAUAAGGUAUAGACUUCGCCAGAAUUUAUAAUUAACUAACCUGUACUAACUUCGUUCGGGUUACUCGCUUUUUGAGAAGUCACGAAAAACGUUCUUCCUAAAACCACCGACUUUGUUUUGUCCGUAUCCGCCUUUAGUGCCACCAUCCCAACUGGACUUGACUUUAGCGCACGACAAAAUCGGGCUAGGUGAUCUUCUUUUCCAUAAUUAUAACAUGCUUUAGACUGUAUCACACAGUUUGGAACGGGUGCUGGUGAUACUGUCUUUCCAUCAUUUAAAACAUACGACCGACGGUCGUUCUCCUUCCUUUGAAACGGGUGCUGGUGCUACUGUCUUUCCAUCAUUAUUGAACCUUCUCUUCUUGAAAUUUCCACUUCUAUUAUCUUGGCCAUGAUUACCACUGAAGUGGUUACCAUUUCUAGCAUGAUAAUUUCCUCCACGAUGGUUAUCGUUGUUCCGAUGGCCGUUGCCACCGGUACGAUUAUUAUCGUGUUGCUAGUCAUUACCUUUUGGUUGAGCUGACUCAACGGUCUCAUGUGCUUCAUUGCUUAUCUCAACAUUUUCAGAUGCCUUUCUCAAACACUAUCACAAAACAAGGGUUAAUUGACAUGUCACAUAUUAUCCCUAUACUCUGACCGACCAAUUAAAUACCAAGUAAACUUAGGUAGGUCAUACUAGCGAAAGAAUUCUCCGUCUCUCCCCUCCUAGUUCUUGUCUCACAUCUCAGCCAGGGAUCAUAUUCCUAAGCUUUGAUACCAAUUGUGACGCCCCCAAAAUAGGUAUACAUCACCCAUCUUGAGUAGCUAGAUACAUGGUACAUAAAUUCAAAUACAACUUAAUUAUACAACAGUCGUGUAAAAUACGACAAAAUAUAGCUGAGAGUUUAAACAAGAAUAUUGUCAUCUAGACAAUAUCCACACUCAAUGGUGUCCUCAUUACAAUUAUUAUCACAUUAUUCCGUAGAAUAGUGAGGACUACUAAAGCCAUUUAUCCUGGACCAUCACUCCAUUUCCCGACUCGUCCCAGCUAUAUUCUCAUUUCCUGAAGAGAACAAUGAAAGAAAGGGUGAGCUCAACUAGCCCAGUAAGAAAUAUUAUGACUAAGAUAAUGCAGAAUAAAUUAUCCUUAGCCUUCAACAGUAUAACAACUGAUAGAAUACAAUAGACAACAAGUUUUAGAUCAACAACUGCAGCGGAAAUAAGCAAUCCAUUAGAAGAGUCAAGUAGAGCAUAAAAUCUACUAUCUUCUAUGAUUUAAAAAGUUUUUCAUCAACUUUAUCGCUGAGACUCAGCUUAAUAAAUAAAAUCGAAUCAUCCCUGCACCACGGCCAAGGAUAUUCAUGUAAUCAUCAAUGGUCAUGAUUAUACCGAAUAAUCCCUGGUCAUAAUCAUACCAACAACUGUCCAUCAAUGAACUACAGGCCAAUGAGGACUUUUACCACAUCAUUCGUCACAUUACGGUCAUGAUUAUACCGAAUAAUCCCUGGUCAUAAUCAUACCAAGUUCAUCUAUGCACGUAAGCCAAAGAUGACUUUAAUCACAAUAUAAGCAUGAGGAUGAUGACAAUGACAUAAUAAUUCAAUAAAACAAGUUCAAGGAUAAAUUUUUAAAGAUUUAUAAUUUAAUUUAUCCAGAAAUUAAUAACGUCCAAAUUGUCAACAUGAUACUGCUUUGUAGAGUAAAAUUCAAGAAUAAUAUUCAUGUACCAAAAAUAAUUUGGACAGCAAAAAAAUAUAUUUUUCGGGUGAAUAGUACUCCGUGAAUAGUACCCCGACACGAAAAGUAUCCCAAAUACCCGAGUGAAUGAUACUAGAGUGAAUAGUAAUCGGGUGAAUAGUAACCCGUGAAUAGUAACUCGUGAAUAGUACUCCGGCAUAAAAAGUAUCCUGAAUACCCGAGUGAAUAAUACUAGAGUGAAUAGUAACCGGGUGAAUAGUAACCCGUGAAUAGUAACUCGUAAAAAAAUACUAAGGAAAACGAUAUUCCAUGACGAGUACAAAAGAAAUGAUAUCUCAGACGAGUAUAAUAGAAUAUACGAAAUUGCAAAUGAAUUUUCACCCGCCAUGCGGUAAUCCACGUAGACAGACCAUUUCCACAAUUUAAUAAGGAAUGAAUACAAAGGAUCAUUCACCAUGCAUGCGGUAAUCCACAUAGAAAUGUUAUUCCAACAAAAUAAUAAAGAAUGGAAUAACAAAAGAAUUCACCAUGCAUGCGAUAGACCGCACAGACAGGUUAUUCCCAACAGAAUAAUAAAGAAUGGAAUAACAGAAGAAUUCACCAUGUAUGCGAUAGAACGCACAGACAGGUUAUUCCCAACAGAAUAAUAAAGAAUGGAAUAACAGAAGAAUUCACCAUGUAUGCGAUAGAACGCACAGACAGGUUAUUCCCAACAGAAUAAUAAAGAAUGGAAUAACAGAAGAAUUCACCAUGUAUGCGAUAGAACGCACAGACAGGUUAUUCCCAACAGAAUAAUAAAGAAUGGAAUAACAGAAGAAUUUCACCAUGUAUACGGUACUUCGUAUAGACAGGUUAUUCCAACAUAAUAAUAAAGAAUGGAAUAACAGAAGCUCCCUUCAUGAAUACGAAAGAAAUAAUACCCCUUACCUUAGAAGAAAUAACAUUAUAUCAAAUCCACACCAUAAUAUUCAAAAAAAUAUUUCGAGAAAUUUAAAUCUUUAUUCAUAAAAUUUGGGGUCUCACAGAUAUUAUGCAGGAAUUACUGUAGCAAUAAUUGAGUAUAACUGAGUGACUUCUCACGUAAGCAUCAAUAAUCAAUAUCGUGUGCUACUAUGCAACCACGCGUAUUACUGUACUUUUACUACCGGGUAGUUCAACAGUUUUAACGGUAACACUUUCGCCGUUAUUUUUAUAAAAUGAUAAUUCUGUCGUUUUCUAACUACGACAAUACUUUUGUUUUGGGUUCCACCAAUGAUUGUGUCAUCGUACGGAUAUUCCUGACAAAAAGAAUAUUCCAUGACCAAACAAAUAUUUUAUAACAACUUGCUUACUUUGCAAAAAAUUUCACAUAUCACCCUUAACUUUAAUAUUUUAUCAAUUUAACCAUUUACGAAAUAAAAUAAUAAUUAUAAGAAAAUUGAAUACUUUCAUUUCAUAAAAUUCGGGGUCUUACACCCUGCAGGUCAGUUCCAUAGUUCAAUUACAAUGCCCCAUGUCAUUAUUUUAUUUUAUUUAGUAUUGAGAAAUUAAGUAAAUACUACUUAGUUCAAUAUAUAAUUUAUUUUAUUUUAUUUUUAUUAUUUUUUAAUAUUCUAUUUAGUAUUGAGAAACUAAAUAAAUACGUACUAAUUAGUUCAUUAUUUUAUUUAUUCUAUUUUACUUUACUUUAUUUUAUUUUAUUUUAUUUAGUAUUGAUAAACUAAGUAAAUACUAAUUAUUUUAUUAUAUUAUUUAUUUUAUUUUAUUUGUUUUAUUUUAUAAUAUUUUAUUUAGUUUAUUUUAUUUUAUUUAGUAUUGAGAAACUAAGUAAAUACUAUUAAUUCAUUAUAUUAUAUUAUUUAUUUUAUUUUGUUUCAUUUUUAUUAUUUUAAAUAGUACAAAUUGUCCUAAAUUAAACGGUACACACUAUUGUUUCUUCCAAUAUUUCAGUUUAUUAAAUGAAAUUAUUCAAAAAUCAUAAUAUUCGAGUCUACAAAUUUAUUUUAAACAUUAUUUUAUCAAAACAUAGCUCACCGCACUCAUCAAAUUAAAUUCGGAAUGCUACCCAAAAUCAGAAUUAUGACAAGUUUCUAAAAAAUCAGAGGAUUCAAGUGCUAAAUCAAAUUCAAUUAUAUUCAGAAUGACAAUUCCUAAAUCAGAAGAUCCAAGUGCUUCCCAAGUUUCUCCAGUUUGUGUAAUGCUAUGGCAUAAGAAAUCCCAACCAAACUCACAUGACAUAUGACAUAGAAGGCUCAAACAUUUGAGAUACAAAAUCUAACAAUAUCUAACACUUGUUCGGAAAAAACUAUAACUACAUGCACAAAAUAUACACUGGGAUUCAACAUAUAUAUAAGAUUCAACCUAAGAUUUCAACAUUUUCUUAAAAAAUUCAAAUGAGAACAAAAAAAAAAUUAAUACCUGAUUUAUAGAGUGGCCUGGGCUUGGUCGAUGGCGACAACUUCGACGGUAGCAACCUUCCUCUCUUCCCUCUUCUUCUCCAUUUUCUCCCUCUUCUCCCUCUUCUUUUUCUUUCUUUCCACCGUCUCCUGGGCUGCUCGACUGCCUAUUUUGAUUAGAUUAAAGAAGAUCAGGGACCACAUGCGGUCGCUGUUUUUUAAUGACGUGGAUGUAUUAGAGACCGCUGGCGAUCGUUGGAAUUUGUUGGUCGUAAUAAACCUCCCCACCAACAUUUGCGCAAAAUUUAUGACGGCAAAAUUAAAUCAGCGACUGCAUGCGGUCGCUGAUAGUAGCUAGCAACUAGAUUUACAUACGGUUGCUAAUAUCGGUCGCUAUUAAUAACAUUAACGACCGGAUUAUGCGAUCGCUGAAAGUAUUGAUCGUUGUUGGACCAUUUUAUUAUAGUGUCGCCUCGUUUUCAAGCCUAUUGAUUGUAAUUAAGUCUAAGUUUUGACUCUAGACUGGAGAAUUAAAGUCUCCCCACUUAUAUCCGGAAUGUGUUUUCAUUAAGGCCAAUUAUGGAUGUGUGGACUUUAAACCUGGAUCAAGAUGUUUGCUUGCAAUGAUUAUACUUGAAAUAUGACUAUUAAUCACAAGUGUCUUAUUUGUUUUUAAAUUUGAACUUGAGACUAUUACUCCAUAGAUUAUAAAAUGACUUAAUAUAGGGGACUAUUUAAUACCAUGUUCAACUAGGUAUUAUAAUCUCAUAAAUUAUAAUCCCAAAAUUAUAAUACUUGUAAAGAAACAUGAGUUAUUGUCGUAUGUAAACUUAAGAAUGACAUUAUGUUAUUUUGACCAUCACAAAUUUAUCCGAAAUGUCAUAACGUUAAUUACAAUUAUAAUAUGUUUAUAUUUCUUAUAACUAAGAAUGUUUUAAAUUAAAUUUGAAAAAAGUAAAACCUAAUUUUACAUUUUAAACUUGAUAUUAUAAUCCCUAUAUAUGCAAAACGUGAUUUGAUUUGGACGCAAAGGUCAAAACGGAGAAGCGAAAUAUAGAUUAGAGAGGCUGCCCUUUCAAAGUAUAAAAGACUAACUACACAUCCAAGUUUCUUUCUCACAACCUAACGCUAUAAAUCAUUUGUUGAAUAUAUUUGAUCACAUGCAUUAUUAAUUUGCAUUUUUCUCCAUUUUCAUGUUUCUUUUUCCAAGUACACGUGGGAAAAAAAUUCAAUCCAAAUCGUUCCAAGUACAACUCGUCCUUUCUCAACCCUACUUAAUUCACAAAUACAAUUAUUUCCAAAUGUUGAAAUUUAAUAUAUACUAUAAGAAAUAUAUAGCUCACCCACUCUUCAUACAAGUCAAAAGAUGGCUGAAUUAAACAAUGUGUAGGUCAUACAUUAUUCUUAUUUUUAAGGGAUAACUUAGUCUUCAAAUUAUAAUUAUUUUUUUAUAUUUAGUCUCUUAACUAUUUUUUCGCAUAUUUUAUUUUUAAAUUAUAUUUUUCUUUCAUGUUAAUCACUUAAUUAAAAUAGAGUAUUUUUCACGUUUAAUUUUUAAAUUGUGAUUGUUAUUCAUAUUUGGUCUUUAAUUUAUAUAGUUGUUUUUCAUAUUUAGUACCCUUUAAUUACUCUAUUUUUAUAAAAUUUGACAAAGAUUAAAAAAAAUAAUAAAAUAUGAGGACGAAAUGCGUGAAAACAAAUAAUUUAAAAACUAAACAUGCAAAACAACAAUAAUUUAGAUAUAACGAAGAGGUUAUCCCUAUUUUUAACUCCGCCUAAUUCAAAUGUUCAUCAAUUGUAUAAAUAGACACAAAGUUAAUGAUACAAACUACUUGUAAUAUACGUCUAGUUAAAAUACAAUCGAUUUGACAUAUUUUUUUUAUAUGCAUAAAAAUUGUAUAUGUUGUGAAUAUUGCAGAUCUAUAUACAUGUUCUUAUGAAAUUAUAUUCUGAUCUAAAAGAUUAAGAUUCCUUGUAACAUAUGAUCCCUUCAUUUAUAUAGACACCAAAUUUCUUCUUAAAUUUUCACUACAAGAAAAAGGCCCAACAGUAAUUAAAAUUAUCUGUGACCGCCAUUUGUUGUCGCUAAUACUUAUAACAUCGACCGGUAUUAACGACCUCAUUUUAAUUUAGUCAUUAUUACUUUCCGUGAUUGUAAUCGGUCGAUGUUCGGUCGCUAAAAGAAUUUUCUAACAAAAAUUUGGCGUGAAAGUGGGGCGGGAAGCCUUUUUGCGACCGGAUCGUAAUAGCGACCGGAUAUCGGUUGCUAAUUCUACCACAUAGUUAAAAAUUAGCGACCGCGGGAGGUCGCAGAAAGCAGUCGAUGAUCCUAUUUAAUCUAUCAGGAAUUAGACAGUCAGACAGAAAUGAAAAAGAAUUAAGAAAAGAGAAGAGGGAGAAGAGAGAAUAGAGGAGUGCCCCCACCCCGGCCGGUCCACCCCACGCCGCCCUAUCAGGUAUAGUUUCUUAGUAAUGUAAUGUGUAUAAAUGUAUAAAUUAAUGUGUAUAAAUGUAUAAUUCUUUUAACUGAACAUAUGUAUAAUUUUCUUAUGUGCACUUUAAUGGUGAGUAGUAAUUUUAACUCAACUCGUGUGUAAAAGCUUUGCGAAAUAAAUCUUCAAUUUACCAAACUUGGAAAUUUUAUAUGGGUAUUAACAAGUACAAUCUAAUUAUAUCAAUGGUGCAUUGAUAUGUUCCAGAUGCAUGAAUUAUACCAUUUUUGAAUCAAUGUAUUAAUAUUAACCUUCAUCUUAGAAAGUAUAUAUAAUAUCACUAAUACAUUAUAAUACAGUAUAAUGCUUACAAUUAUUUAUUAGUGUAGUGCGAUUUAAAAGAAUGAACCCUCUAAUGCAUUCUAGUAUAGCAUUUUCAUAAAUUGAGAUGAGUAGAGGUGCAAUUAUUUAUGCAAAUUUUUGUAAAUAAGUACGAUACCAAAUUACUUAAUAAUCGCUAUCACACCGUACCAUAGUCAUCGUAAUUUUAUGGUGUGGUACUCGUACAAAAAAGCUUACCUGAGUUGCUCUUUAGAAUUCUAAGUUGGCACAAACAAUAAUCGAAUAGUCUUACCUUUUUUUAUGUUGUGCUUUGUAGGAUUAACUUUUUGAUGCUUUUGCAUCCAUUCGUUAUUGUUUUGGCCUUAUUAUAUUUUGAAUUUGUAUAUUUCUCUUGGGUAGUGUCUUGGGUGCCUACAAAUGACCAUAUAUGCAUACCCUCGUGCAUGUGGAUAGUGUAUAUUAUAGGGGAGACUAGCGAAUUUUUUUUAUUGGUCGAAUAACUGAAAAGAGGGGUAUAUUUUUAUAAUACCUACGUAUAUGCAAAAACAAAUGAUGUAGACUUGUCCCAAUGCAUAUGCAGACCAUGCAUGAUGCAAUGAUUCAUAUUAUAUCCCUAGGACUCUAUUGUCUUUAGACUGGUGCAGAUGUUUCAGUUAAAAUAUGUAGGAUGACAUAGGACCAUACUUCAUUCUAAUUUGAGAUCCACAACAAUAUAUCAUGCUAUGUAAAUUUGUUUUGGUACAUAUGUAUCCUCAUUCCAUUCCCGAAGCAGCAUUUAUGAUGCACACUCAUGUUAUAUAUGUACAUAUACAUCUAUAUGUAUUUAUAAGUAUCAUAAAUAGCAUUGGCUGAAUUGUAAAUCUCUAACAAGGGAAAUAAAAUAACUCUUGUCUGCAGUAAGUAUCGUGGUAUCAUGGACCUCUAUUUAGACCGUAGGUGGAUGAGUCGGCGAAAGUCAGGUGCCCGGAUAGGUGCUUCAGAUGAAUUUAGAGCUGGUUGCUAAGUGUUUUUAGAUUAUGCAUAUAGUAACCCAAAAUGAGUGAAUGGUCAGAACAAGAUAAGAUGCCCUUGUUUGAAGUGUAAGAAUAUAAAUUACAUGGACAGAGACAUUGUCAACUAUCAUUUACUUGUUUCUAGGUUCAUGAAAAAAUACGAAGAAUGCUAGUGGGCACAUGGUCAGAGAAGAGAUAGUGGUACAUCACACGUACACAAUUCGGGCAGUAGUACUCAUCGUAUGAAUGAAAUGGUUCAUGAUAUUGUAGGGUCGGAUUUUGAUUAGAAACAAGGUAGAGAGCAACCUAUGAAUUCUUAUGCCAAAGCGUUCUUUAAGUUGUCAGACGAGGGUAGAGAGUCGUUGUGGCAUGGUUGCACCAAGCACACUACAUUUUCUGCAGUGGUGACAUUACUUAACAUCAAGGUUGAUCACAACAUGAGCCAUGAGUGUUUUGAGUCGCUUUUGAAUGCCAUUAAGAGUAUGUUGUAUGAGACUAAAAAAUUUCCCAAAAACUACUACUAUUGUAAGAAAAUGGUGAAGAAGUUGGGUCUUGGAUACUAAAAGAUCGAUGCAUGUCCGAACGAUUGCAUUUUAUUUUAUAAGGAAGAUUAACAUGAGACAAGGUGCACAUUUUGCAGUCAUAAUCGGUUUAGGCCUAAUAGAGAGGGUCUGACAACAAAAAAAACAAAUAUACCUUUUAAGAUUUUAAGGUAUUUUCCAAUUACGGCUAAAAAGAUUGUAUAUGUCUUCCAAAAUAGCUGAACAUGUGACUUGGCAUGCGAAAUCUCAAGCUAAAGAUAGGGAACUAAACCAUCCCGCAGAUGGGAAGGCUUGAAAAGAUUUCAACUUAGCACAUCCUGGGUUUGCAUUGGAACCUAGGAAUGUGAGGCUUGGAUUGUCCACUGAUGGUUUCAACCCGUUCGGCCACUCUGCUGUUCCGUACUCUUGCUGGCCUGUGAUUGUUACUCCAUACAACUUGCCUCCUUGGAUGUGUAUGAAACAACCAUAUUUAGUUUUUUCACUUGUGAUUCCUAUUCCCAAGAGUCCUGGAAAGAACCUAGAUGUUUACUUGAGACCUCUGAUAGACGAGUUGAAGGUAUUGUGGGAGGAUGGAGUACAGACUUGUGAAGUUUUCUCAAAAAUAAAUUUCAACCUUAGGGCUGCGGUUAUGUGGACUAUAAGUGACUUCCUUGAUUAUGGUAUGUUAGCUAGAUGGAGUACACAUGGUAAGUUGGCUUGUCCGUAUUGUAUGGAGCGUACAAAGUCCUUCAAUCUAUCAAAAGGUAGAAAGCCUUGCUUGUUUAACUGUCAUCGUCGAUUCUUGCCGGUAGAUCACCCAUUUCGAAAAAACAUAGAACACUUCAAGAAAGGGAAAGUAGACAAUGAUAUGCCUGCACCGCGAUUUUCGGGGACGGAGAUGUGUGACCAUGUGAUGAGAUUAUCGGUUAUCUCAUUUGGAAAGACUGUUUCCUCAAACACAAUCGAUGGGUUUGGCGAGUCUCAUAAUUGGGUUCACAAAAACAUCUUUUGGGAACUGACUUAUUAGUCUACAAAUUUGAUUUGGCAUAAUCUAGAUGUGAUGCAUAUUGAGAAGAAUGUGUUCGACAAUGUGUUUAACAUCGUGAUGAGUGUUACAGGAAAGAGGAAAGAUAAUGAUAAAGCACGGUUAGACAUGAAAGAUAUUUGUAAACGUCCUGGAUUAGAACUUUAUGAAUCUACAAUUGGUAAAAUGUUCAAACCGCAUGCAAGAUACACAUUGUCCAAAAAGCAGGUUGAAGAAGUGUGCACAUGGAUUAAGUCUCUCAAACUACCAAAUGGAUAUGCGUCAAACAUUGCAAGGUGUGUUACGGGUGGGAAAUUGCAAGGGAUGAAGAAUCAUAACUGUCAUGUGUUCAUGGAAAGACUCGUGCAUGUUUAUAGCAUUUUGGGAUAUGCUUGAUAAACCAAUAUGGGAUGCUUUGACUGAUCUUAGUUAUUUUUUCAGAGACUUGUGUCCCAAAACAUUAAAUGAGAAGGACAUGUCAGUACAUCAUUGAGAUCACGUGUAAGCUUAAAACAAUAUUCCUGCCUGGUUUUUUUUGUCUCCAUGGAGCAUUUGCAAAUCCAUCUUCCCUAUGAAGCUCAUGUUAGGAGUCCAUUUCAAUAUAAAUGGAUGUACCCUUUCGAAAGGGUGAUGGGAAACCAUAAGAGGAAGGUGAAAAUAGAGCUUAUGUCGAGGGGUCGAUAUGUGAGGCAUACAGUUUCAAUGAGAUAUCUACGUUUAUCUCAGACUAUUUUCCCGACGAAGUCUUGACAAAGGUCAAUCGAGUCUCGAGACAUGAUGAUGGGGGUAAUGUUGAACUAAAUGGUCGGCAUUCUGUAUUUGGUCUAUCAGGUCGCGCUUAUAGAAAAAGAAAGCGCAUAUUCCUCUUUGAACAAGAUUUACAUGCUGCACAUACUUACAUUGUAAGACCCCAACUUUUAUGAAUAAAGAAUAAUUUUCUCAAAAUAUAUUUUUGAAUAUUAUGGUGUGGAUUUGAUAUAAUGUUAUAGUUGUGGGAGAAACCUUCAUUACAUCCACUGUUUAUAAGUCUUGUUUGAUUCAAAUCGGUAACUGCGCGUUACCUGUCGAACUUAUUUCCUUGAAAAUACUUGCAUUUGAUGUGAUUUUAGGGAUUGAUUGAUUAACUACUCAUCAUGCUAAAAUCGAUUGUUUUCGUAAGUUUGUUAGCUUUCAUAUUCCUAACCAACCUAUUAUGUGAAUUCAAGCAACCAAACCACUAAAAUCAAUCACUGUUAUAUCAAGUCAUAAAGCUAUUCGUUUAUUAAAAAAUGGAUGUCAAGCUUUCUUAGCCCAUGUCACGGAUUUAAAUAAAAAUAGGUCAGAUUUGAAUGAUAUUUCUAUUGUUAAUAAAUUUCCUGACGUAUUCCCUGAAGAACUUCCUGGCCUACCCCCAGAGCGUGAAAUUGAAUUUUGUAUCGACCUUGAAUUCGGUACAAAACCCAUUUCCAAAGCCCCAUAUUGAAUGGCUUCUAUUGAACUUCAGGAGUUAAAAACCCAACUACAGGAAUUGUUAGACAUCAGUUACAUUCAUCCUAGUACGUCUCCUUGGGGUGCUCCUGUUCUAUUCGUGAAGAAGAAAGAUGGAAGUAUGCGACUUUGUAUUGAUUAUCAGGAGUUGAAUCAUGUCACCAUCAAAAAUAGGUACCCGUUGCCUCGCAUUGAUGACCUAUUUGACCAGUUGCAAGGAGCCAAAUUCUUUUUAAAGAUUGAUCUUCGUUCCAGAUAUCAUCAGUUGAAGAAUAAAAUUGAUGACAUUCCAAAUACUGCUUUCAGAACUCGGUACGGGCAUUAUAAAUUCCUAGUCAUGUCUUUUAGAUUGACUAAUGCUCCUACUGCCUUCAUGGACAUGAUGAACCGAGUAUUCAAGGAAUAUUUGGAUCACUUUUUGGUUGUCUUUAUUGAUGACAUCCUCAUAUACUCCAAAACCCGUGAAGACCAUGAGCAACACUUAAGGCUGAUACUCCAAAAGUUUCGUGAAAACAAGCUAUAUGCCAAGUUAAAGAAAUGUGAGUUCUGGCUUGAGGAAGUUGCAUUACUUGGGCACGUGAUAUCAAAUCAUGGAAUAUCUGUUGACCCAGCAAAGAUUGAAGCAAUUCAAAGCUGGGAGCAACCAAAGUUAGUGACUGAAGUACAUAGCUUUCUCGGCUUAGCUGGUUAUUAUCGGAGAUUCGUGGAAGGAUUUUCUCGAAUCGCUACUCCAUUAACUCAGCUGACUCGAAAAGAUACAAAGUUCAGUUAGAGCGAGGAAUGUGAGAAGAGUUUUCAAGAACUCAAGAGAAGACUCAUUUCAGCACCUAUUCUGACAAUACCAUCUGGCUCGAAGGGAUUUGUCAUCUACAGUGAUGCUUCAGGCAAAGGGUUAGGAUGUGUUCUCAUGCAACAUGGGAAAGUCAUAGCCUAUGCCUCUCGAAAACUCAUUGAAUAUGAGAGAAAUUAUUCUACUCAUGAUCUAGAGUUGGCAGCAGUCGUUUUUGCGCUUAAGAUUUGGAGGCAUUACCUGUAUGGAGAGAAGGUGGAGAUCUAUACGGAUCAUAAAAGCCUCAAAUAUUUCUUUACUCAAAAGGAACUCAACAUGCGACAACGACGAUGGCUUGAGUUGUUGAAAGAUUAUGAUCAUACCAUCCAAUACCAUCCUGGAAAAGCGAACGUAGUAGCUAACGCACUGAGUAGAAGAUCAUAUGCGGGUACAAGUGCAAUAUUGUCAACGCAAAGGCCCAUUUUGUAUGACUUGGAAAGGAUGGAAAUAGAGUUAAAGACUCCAGGGACCCAUGUGAUGAUGGUGAAUAUACAAGUAGAAUCGACUUUAAUUGAUAAAGUUAAAGCUGCUCAACUUACGGACCUAGAGCUGAUGCGUAUGAGGAAGAAAGUACAAGAAGGUGCUAUUCCAGAAGUAAGAAUCGAUGAAGAAGGAAUACUUUGAGUCAACUCCAGACUUUGUGUUCCUAACGAUUCUGACUUGAAGUAUAAAAUCAUGAUGGAGGCGCACAACACACCGUUUGCAAUCCAUCCUGGGAGUACAAAAAUGUAUCGUGAUCUUCGACAUACAUUUUGGUAGAGAAAUAUGAAGAGAGAGAUAGCGGGGUUUAUCUCAAGGUGUCUAGCUUGUCAACGAGUCAUGGCAGAGCAUCAAGUGCCAAAAGAUCCAUUGCAACCACUUAAAAUUCCAGAAUGGAAGUGGGAUCACAUUAUCAUGGAUUUCAUUAGUGGUCUUCCCAAAGUUUCUCAAGGCAUAGAUGCAAUUUGGGUCAUUGUUGAUAGAUUGACCAAGUCUGCUCAUUUCUUACCGAUACGAGAAACUUUUACACUUGAACGUCUUGCUAGUAUGUACAUAAAUGAGAUUGUAAGAUUGCAUGGUAUGUAAAUAUCCAUAGUUUCUGAUCGAGACCCAAGAUUCACUUCAAGAUUUUAGGUUAGUUUGCAAAAAGCUAUGGGCACGGAUUUACGAUUUAGUUCGGCAUAUCAUCCUCAAACGGAUGGGUAGUCGAAAAGGACUAUUCAAACUCUUGAAGAUUUAUUAAGACUCUGUGUCCUUGACUUCAAAGGAAGUUGGGACAAGUUCUUACCAUUGGUGGAGUUUUCCUACAAUAAUAGUUAUCAAGCAAGUAUUGGCAUGGCUCCAUUUGAGGCGUUGUAAGGAAGAAAGUGUCGUUCUCCAGUAUGUUGGGAUGAGGUGGGUGAAGCAACGUUGUUGGGAUCGAAUUUGGUACGUAUGACUACGGAAAAGAUUUAAACGAUCCGACAACAUAUAAAAACCUCACAAGAUCGACAAAAGAGUUAUGUUGAUCUUCAUCGAAAGGACGUGGAAUUCAAUAUUGGAGAUCAUGUGUUGUUACGUGUUCCUCCAUGGAAAGGAGUUACGAGAUUUGGAAAGAGAGAAAAGCUCAAUCCUCGAUUCAUUGGCCCAUUUUUAAUCCUCGGUCGAGUAGGAACUGUGGCCUAUAGACUCGCCUUACCGCCAAGUAUGUCUCGUGUACAUAAUGUUUUUCACAUAUCUAUGUUACAUAAAUAUGUGAAAGACCUGAACCACAUUAUUGAAUUAGAACCAGACGAGAUAGAGGAAGAUUUAACGUAUGAAGAUUUACCUGUUAAAAUCUUGGAUAAGAAGGAUCAUAUUCUACGCUCCAAGGUUAUACCUCAAGUCAAAGUUUUGUGGAGAAACCACGAUGUGGAAGAAAUGACCUGGGAGUUAGAAUCUGAGAUGAAGUCAAGAUAUCCUCACCUCUUCGAUAUACCAGGUACGUACCCUAAUUUCGAGGACGAAAUUUCAUAAGAAGGGGAGGUUGUAAGACCCCAACUUUUAUGAAUAAAGAAUAAUUUUCUCGAAAUAUAUUUUUGAAUAUUAUGGUGUGGAUUUGAUAUAAUGUUAUAGUUGUGGGUAAUAUUUACAAAUUUUGCAAAGUAAGCAAGUGGUUAUAUAAUAUUCGAUUGGUCGGGGAAUAUUCGUUUUAACAGGGAAUAUUCGUACGACGGCACAAUCAUUGGUGGACCCCACAACGGAAGUAUUGUCGUAGUUAGAAAAUGACAGAAUUAUCUUUUUAUAAAAAUAACGGCGAAAGUGUUACCGUUAAAACUGUUGAACUACCCGGUAGUAAAAGUACAGUAAUACGCGUGGUUGCAUAGUAGCACACGGUAUUGAUUAUUGAUGCUUACGUGAGAAGUCACUCAGUUAUACUCAAUUAUUGCUACAGUAAUUGCUGCAUCAUAUCUCUCAUAUUAUUGAUUCAAUUAUUGUCACAGUAUCAUCUGCAUAAUAUGUUAUAUUAUUAAAUCAAUAAUUGAGACGACAAAGUUAUUCAUAUUAUUAUUUGCAAUAUUGACAAUGUCUAGAAGUUCUGUCAAGGAGAGGUUUGGUCACCUAAUUGCGCGCCAAUAAGGAGAAAUCCUUAUCGGAAAGCCCCCUCUUUCCUGGGAACGACCUGGUUGUUAAAUAUUGUGAGUUAUAAUAUUAAUGAUGAAUAAGUUCGUGUUGAUUAAAGAUGAAAUUGAUAGUUCCAUUGUGUUGGAAUUAUUAGUGUUAGUGGAAAUCGACAUUUAUUUCGAUAAUAAUUGAUGUCUGGAGGUUAUAUUGACCAAUCGGGUAAUUAACCGGAUAAAUGAGCAAUUAAUUGCUAUUAAUUCACAUGAUUAUAACUAUUUGUUCACAUGUGUGUACUAUUGAUUCACAUUCUUGUACUAUUAGGGGAGUUGGUGCAAGAUUGAUAAUACUUGCAUGACUAAGUUAAAAAUGGAGGUAUAGAUGGAGGUACUAUACUGUAAUUCGUAUUUUCACAUGUCUAGAACUAUUGAUUCACAUGAUUUACUAUUGAUUCACAUGAUUUACUAUUAGGGGAGGUGGUGCAAGUUUGAUAAUACUUGCAGGACUAAAUUAAAAAUGAAGGAAAAGAGGAAGGUAUUAUACUGUAAUAUUUCGAGCCCCAAAACGUGCAAUUAUCGAAACUAUAUUUUCCUAUAAAUAGAAGCUCAUUCUUCCUUCAUUUCUCACCAAUUCACUAAAGCUAUAGAGCAAUUAUUAUAGAGAGAAAUUAUAGAGAGAAAGAAGAAGAGAAGUCUGCUACCUCACUAUUCCAGUAUCCAGUUUUCUUCUAAGGUAAGGGGUAUUAUUUCUUUCGUAUUCAUGAAGAGAGCUAUUGUUAUUCCAUUCCUUAUUAUUCUGUUGGAAUAACCUGUAUACGCGGACUACCGUAUACAUGGUGAAAUUCUUCUGUUAUUCCAUUCUUUAUUAUUAUGUUGGAAUAACCUGUCUAUGCGAAGUACCGCAUACAUGGUGAAAUUCUUCUGUUAUUCCAUUCUUUAUUAUUCUGUUGGAAUAACCUGUCUAUGCGAAGUACCGCAUGCAUGGUGAUUUCUUUUGUUAUUCCAUUCUUUAUUAUACUCAGUUGGUUAAAGUUUUGACUUCUAUACUCCAUGAAAUUAGUGGAAUAUCCUUGAUAUUUGCGCUUCAUCCAGUAUCUUUUCAUGGAAAUAUUCUUCUGAGCAUUCUUGAAUUUUACUCUACAAAGAAGUAUCAUGUUGACAAUUUGGACGUUAUUAGUUCCUGGAUAAAUUAAUUCUUGAACUUGUUUUAUUGAAUUCUUAUAUCAUUGUCAUCAUCCUCAUGUUUAUAUUUUGUUGAAAGUCAUCUGUGGCCUGUAGUGCAUAGAUGGACUUGGUAUGAUUAUGACCAGGGAUUAUUCGGUGUAAUCAUGACCGUAAUGUUACAAAUGAUGUGGUAAAAGUCCUCAUUGGCCCGUAGUGCAUUGAUGGACAGUUGUUGGCAUGAUCAUGACCAUUAAUGAAUACACAAAUAUUCUUGGCCCGUAGUGCAUGGAUAAUUGUGGUCGUGAUACUAAAGAAUAUCCUUGGCCGUAGUGCAGGGGUGAUUCGAUGAUGUGGAUUAUUUAUUAAGCUGAGUCCCAGCGAUAAAAGUGAUGAAAAACCUUUUAAAUCAUAAAAGAUAGUAGAUUUUAUUCUCUACUUGACUCUUUUAAUGGAUUGCUUGUUCCGCUGCAGUUAAACUUGAUGUUUGUUAUAUUGUAUCAGUUUAACACUGUUUAAGGCUAAUGAUAAUUUAUUCUGCAUUAUCUUAGUCAUAAUAUUUCUUACUGGGCUAGUUGAGCUCACCCUUUCUUUCACUGUUCUCUUCAGGAAAUGAGAACGUAGCCGGGACUAGUCGGAAGACGGAGUGACGGUCCAGAUGAUAGCAUUAGUAGUCAUCACUAUUCUCUUGAAUAGUAUGACAAUAAAUGUAAUGAGGACUCCAUUGAGUGUGGAUAUUGUCUAGAUGAUAAUAUUCUUAUUAAAACUCUUAGAUUAUGUUUUAUUGUAUUUUACACGACUGUUGUAUAAUUAAGUUGUAUUUGAAUUUUGUACCAUGUAUUUGGCGACUCAAGAUGGGUGAUAUAUACCUGUUUUGGGGGCGUCACAUACAUUCUUCUCAAUUGCGUGGAGAUUAACGAAUUUAUGAGGUACACAUAUAAAAUUUCAAUUAUUUUAGGGAUAGCUAUAUCUUAACCUACAAUGAUAUACAUUCCAAUAUGUUAAUGUUUAUAAAAUAUUAUAGAUCAUACGAUGAUGAGUUAAAAGUGAAUCAGCCCGGCAUAACUGAUAAAGAUGUUCAAAUCAGUCGUGAUAAAAACUUUGUAAGGUGGCUUAAGGGAAAAAGUAUGCUACAUAUAUUAAGCAUUAAUAUAUACUCCAUUAAUUUAAGACUUCAUUUAAUGUAAUAGAGUUUUUAUAUGAUCUUACUAAGGGAACGAUUUCGGAUAAUGUACAAGUCCUAGCUAUGGGCCCAGACAUGGACCAAGUCAGCUGCAAUAGUUACAAGAUCAAUGGUUGUGAAUUUUAUAUAAAGGCAUAUGUGACAACCCAAAUUUUUAUAAAUUAUUAAAAUAAAAAUUUAAUAAUUACAAUUCUUAUUAUGAGAUGUAUAUAUUUUGAAUUAUGUGUUUUGGUGUGAAUAAAUUAAAUUUUUAUGAGAUUUAAUAGUUGAUUAAACUAUUGAAGAAAGUGAAGCAAAUUAGUUAUGAAAAAAGGAAAAUGGCGACAAAAGAAAUUAACUAAAUAAUAUUAGUUAAUUGAGAUGGAACAUAUAUUGUGGAAUAAUAUAAUUUAAUUGGUAUGCCUUGAUUGGCGAUUGAAUUGUUAUGAAUUAAAUUUCAUAAAUAAUGUGAGUAAUUCACAUAAUUAAAAUAAUGAAUUAAUGUAAAUGUAAUUGUUUUAAUAAAAUGAGAGUAUAUAUAUAUAUAUAUAUAUAUAUAUAUAUAUAUAUAUAUAUAUAUAUAUANNNNNNNNNNNNNNNNNNNNNNNNNNNNNNNNNNNNNNNNNNNNNNNNNNNNNNNNNNNNNNNNNNNNNNNNNNNNNNNNNNNNNNNNNNNNNNNNNNNNNNNNNNNNNNNNNNNNNNNNNNNNNNNNNNNNNNNNNNNNNNNNNNNNNNNNNNNNNNNNNNNNNNNNNNNNNNNNNNNNNNNNNNNNNNNNNNNNNNNNNNNNNNNNNNNNUAGAUGGUUUUGAUGCAUGAUUUUUUUAAGGAAGUGGUUAUACAUGUUAAUGGUUAUGUUUAAUUCAUUUCAUAUAAUCUAAAAGUGGUUUUAGGGUGAUCAAAUUUAUGAAAGUAUGAUUAAACUAGAAGAAAUUGAGUUCUUAUAGAUAUAUGUACGUUAGGGCUUGUUUUGGAAUCAAAAUUGAUGAUGAAAUCAUGAUUUAAUCUGAAAUUGAUUAUAGAUAUUGUUAGUGUAUUGAAUUACAAAAACAACGAAAGUUAAAUGGAUUGAUUUGGUUAGGAAUCGAAUCUAUGGUGAAUGAUUAUGCUAAAUAUGUUAAAACAUAUAAAACUAAUAUGAACAUGAGUUUUGGGUCAAGAUUUAGGCUAGUUAGUGUUUCUAUAAAUUGUUAUAAUUCUAGUACGUUAUAGUUCUAUGAAUUACGAAUCUAUAGAAUCGAAAAUGGACUAAUUUGGAUGUGUAUAACUCAAGUUAUGAUGAUUAGUAGGAGAAAAGGGUCAAAAAUCGCAUGAACAGUAACUUCAGAGUCCCGUUUCUGCUAACGGGCACAGCUGCGCUGUGUCCUAAGUCAUUUGGGGCACAACAGCGCUCUAGGAUGCAGUUGCACUGUGACCAAGGCUUAAUUGGGCGCAGCUGCGCCCAAAAUAUGCCGGGUGUGACUGUUUUGACCUGUUUUAGUAAAAUAGGCAUAACGUUUUCAUAUGAACUCCGCUUGAGGCGAUUCAGGAUGAUCUGGAACGAGGAUAAAUAGACCUACAACUUUAUUCUUUAAGUUUUUCAAUUUAAGGUUUAGAACAGGGGUCAAAAUGGUCAUCGUUAGGACUAUUGUGUUUUUGGGGAUAAUCGGAGGGCGUCGAGCAUGCACGUAUGCUAGUGUAGUGUUUCUGACGAUAAAAGAUGUUAUUCUAAGUUAUAAAACAUGAAUGUUAGUAAACAUAAUGAUUCUUAACAUUAAUAAAUGAUGUAUUAGAUAAUUUGUAUAAGCAUACAUAAGAGAGACAAAUCGGGCGUGUGACGAAUGAAUGUCGAAAUGCCGUAACAAAUGUUAAUGAACGUAAAAAGUGUUUUAAGUCAAAGGGUUAUGAGAUGUAGAGUAAAGUUUACAUUACAACUUCUAUGCGUUGCUAUGUAACUAAUAGCUGAUGUGUAUGAUUAUAUAAUUGUAUAGGACACGUGAAGUGCAGAUAACUGUAAGCUGUUAAACUGUUAUUGGUAAACAACGAUCAAGGCAAGUCUUUCAGUUCCUAUUUGCUAUAUGAAUUUGAUGAUGAACUAUUUUAAAUCUUUAUUGCAAAUAGCAUGAUGUUUUACAUAUAUGUUGAAAGUAUGAAACGUUAAAGUCAAUCUAUGACUAUGAUGAUUGAGCUAUGAAUGUUAAUUGUGUAAGGAACUCAAUCUUUAUACUUGUUAUGUGAACUGCAACAUGUAUGUUACGUUAGUCCAAUGAUUAUGAGAUAUAUGUUGAGCAUGUUGUUGUGCUACGUGAUGCAUGAAAACUGUUAGAUUUUGCUGGGUUAUCGAGCUCAACCUUGCAAAUAACCAAUUUUGCAGGUUAAGGAUAUAAGGUAACUUUAUGUGUUACUUGAAAGACAUGAAUCAGAUGUAAUGCAUGAAGAUCUAAUAUCCUAGCCAAGUUGUUAUUCUUGUAAACCAUGCCUAAUGUUUCGGUAAAUGUAUUAAUAUUGAAUUGUAAUAUUAUUUUGCGAUGUAAACUCUUGUAGUAUUAAAAUGAUUCUGAGAUACUUCGAUGUAAAGGUUGAAAGUUUUGGGAACGAAAAUAGUUUGUAAUAGAAAAUUUUAAUUAUUCCGUAA